UGUGGCGUCGUUCUUGCUGGCGAG
rnacentral:piRNA from 1 species